AUUGAACGCUGGCGGCAGGCUUAACACAUGCAAGUCGAACGAGUGGCGGACGGGUGAGUAAUGCUUGGGAAUCUAGCUUAUGUAGGGGGAUAACUACGGGAAACUGUAGCUAAUACCGCGUACCAUAGGAUGAGACCAAGUGGGUUUAGGUAGUUGGUGAGGUAAAGGCUCACCAAGCCGACGAUCUCUAGCGGGUCUGAGAGGGUGACCGGCCACACUGGGACUGAGACACGGCCCAGACUCCUACGGGAGGCAGCAGUGGGGAAUAUUUCGCAAUGGGGGCAACCCUGACGCAGCCAUGCCGCGUGUAUGAAGAAGGCCUUAGGGUUGUAAAGUACUUUCAGCGGGGAGGCGUUACCCGCAGAAGAAGCACCGGCUAACUCCGUGCCAGCAGCCGCGCUAAUUC
rnacentral:rRNA from 1 species